rnacentral:rRNA from 1 species
AUACGUAGGGGGCGAGCGUUGUCCGGAAUGAUUGGGCGUAAAGGGCGCGUAGGCGGCGCGGUAAGUCUGGAGUGAAAGUCCUGCUUUCAAGGUGGGAAUUGCUUUGGAUACUGCCGCGCUUGAGUGCAGGAGAGGUUAUCGGAAUUCCCGGUGUAGCGGUGAAAUGCGUAGAGAUCGGGAGGAACACCAGUGGCGAAGGCGGGUAACUGGACUGCAACUGACGCUGAGGCGCGAAAGUGUGGGGAGCAAACAGGAUUAGAUACCCUGGUAGUCCACACUGUAAACGAUGAAUACUAGGUGUAGGGGGUAUCGACUCCCUCUGUGCCGCAGUUAACACAAUAAGUAUUCCGCCUGGGGAGUACGGCCGCAAGGUUGAAACUCAAAGGAAUUGGCGGGG